UUCAAUAUCUUAAGUAUACGUGAAGUUGAAAAAUGUGCAGUACUUUAAAAAAGUAUGUUAAACACUCUCAUUCGGGGUAUGAAUAACUAGCCGACUGAACCCAAACUUCGGCAGCUUUCGACACUGAGAUGACAACAGCGCCACCUGUCGACCGGCCGGGUGACAAUCAGAGCCCUGCUGAGGAAUUUCUCCAAUUCUUCGUUUCCCACCUGUUCUUCCAGCAGCCCUGAAACCCUCGUCCAAGGCAUUGUGAAGGAACAAGAACAUACAGUUAUGCUUGACAGCCCCAUAACGACAAUCAGUGGAGACAAUAUACCCGAAGCCCUUUAGCUUUCCCCAGCUGUUCUAUAUGGUUCCAGCUCUGAAAGCAUGAAGAAAAGGACCAUAGCGCCACCAAGUGUAGAAAGACUUCUUCAGGACAGGGGUUCUUAACCUGGGGUCCAUGGAGCCCUUGGGGGUCUGCAGAUGGCACUUCCGGGGGUCUGUGAAGCAUAGCAUUGA